rnacentral:lncRNA from 1 species
CCUUUUCCAGGUAGUUUUUUUAAAAAAAAAUCUUUAAUCACAGAAUACAGAAUUUAAAUUGGUUUCUUUCCUUCUCUUCAAACCCCUGAGUCCUUUCACCUUUACACUAGUGGAGACAUAUUCAGAAUAUAAAGUUUUUUUCUCCUUCAAACUAAUUAAAUAAGCUCUGAUGACAUCAGCUGUAUUGGCAGCGCACCUGAUUAAGGGCAUGAUACUAAUUAAAUUCUUGAAUGAUUAGAAAUCCAAAUUGCUAAACUUGAUUCAGCAACAGGCCUUGCUGCCUGGCUCCAGAGCAGCAGAGGAAAUAUCCAGCCUCAUUUCAGGGAUGGUAAAGCUCUCGAGUUUAACACAAUUCUAAUGAGAAAAUAACACUAACUAUAAAUGGCCAAAACUUACCUAUUCACAUGCGGCAACAUUUUCCCUUAUGGAGGCAGCACCUUUCUGGGUGUGAGCUCAUUGAGAAGUGCUGUGACAGGGUAGGGUGAGCCCUGAGCUGUGGAGUCAGAACCAAGUUCAAAGUCUUCCUCUGUUACUUGGGGAAUUUAAUGUAAUUUCUCUGAGCAUGCAUAUAUUCAUCUGUAAUAUGGGAUUUGAUUCUCUAUCUCAAAGGAUUUGAAGGCUGAUUAAAUGAGAUCACCUAUGUGUCAAGAGUUCUAGAAUGCUGAAGGUGUUUAAGAAAUAAAUAUAUCCAUAGACUGGCUCAAAUAAGAUGAAGAAUCUUGACUCUUCAGUCUUCCAACAGAUACUGAAUGCCUACCAUUAAUUUAUUCCUUAAAUUCAGCAAAUAUUUUAUGAAGAACUGCUACAUUUCUGGUGGUAUUCUUAGUGUUCAAAAUAAAUUCAUCCAUCAGUGAAUUGAAAAAGACAAAAAUCCAUUGCAUUGCGGUGGCUACUUGCAUAAUAACCAUAAACAUAAUAAAUAAUUAAAAUUUAUAAGUUAGAUUUAGUAAUAGGUUUUAUGGAAGAAGAACAGAGAGACCUGGAGUCAUGGAGGUGGGGAAAAUAAUAGGUUGCAAUUUAGGGUGUUGAGGGAAGGGUCUAUUGACUAGGUAAAACAUGAGCAAAGCCUUAAAGGAAGUGAGGGAAUUAGCUGUCACCCAGCAGAUGUCUGGAGAAGAUCUGAGUGAGCUUCCAGGACAAAGGUCCCAAGUAGAAUGUACUAGACACCUUCCCAAAACACCACGGAGACCAGCGACUAUGCCAGACCCUGGAUAUAGCAAUGAAUUGAACAGUGAGAAGUGUGUUCAAACUGUGCCUUUAUCACUGGCCUAUUGUAUGAUUUUUAGCUAUUUAAUUUCUCUGUACUUAUAUCCCUUCAUCUACCUAACUAAAUCCAAAUGUCUAUUUCAAAAGAUAAUUCCAAAGUAUUAAAGCAUUCAUUUACCCCAAUCACCUCUGAAGGUAGAGUGUAUAGGUUGUGUUUUAGAAGAAUAAGUAGAAUAGAGAGUAUUGUUUUAUUUCUGCCUGCUUCUCAUCUGUUCACAUGGCAUCACGUAUGCUGAGCCUAUUCCCUUAGUAUGCCAAGAUUGGUGGGGGCAGCGAGGGGACUUGCUGAGAUAGAAGAAUGAUUCUGAGAAGUGAAAAAAGAUAUAACCACAGGAGAGCUAGGCUUAGUAUCUGCUUUAUUCUAGGCAUUUAUUGCAUUGAAAAGAACAAUGCAGAGUGUGGUAAAGAGUUUUUAAUACUGGGAUGACAGCGUUUAUACGUAUAUGAAUGUGUGUAUUGGUGUAUUUUUAUGUGUAGUUUUUCUCAGAAUCAACUGUGCACCAAAGGUGACUCAAACACUUACAGAACUUUUGUCAAACAUUUCCAGUAAAAUGUGGAUUGGAUGCUGAGAGAACAAGGAAGGAUCAUACAUAGUAGUUCCUUCACUGUUUGUAUUCUCAAACUUUUGUCUUGUUGCUGGCUGGAUAUAAGUCAUAUAUGGUGGAAAGCAUAUUGAAUUCAGAAUCAGAAGACCUUGGUUCAACAACUGCCCCUUCAAGAUCUAGCUGUGUGACUUGGGCUUGUCUUAGAAAUCUCCUGAGCUUUAUUAUCCUCACCUACAUAAUGACAAUUUACCUCUAUGUUGUCUGCUUCCCCAAUGCCAAGGGUCAAAUGAAGAAAUGCAUUUGAAAUCAUUUGGUAAACUAUAGAAGUAAACCCAAGGUAAGGUGAGGGGUCAGAGUUGAAGAAAGAGGCUGAUGGAAACUAGGGGAUGGUCAGUUGUCUGUUGUAAUAAGAAUGGCUUUGGUAUUUCUCCACAGAAUAGAUGGAUGGUGCUAAUUUAUGCACCUUAGUUAAUUUUGUUUUGCUGGGGGCUUAGAUGAGACUCCCUGAUGGAUGCACCAUUCAUUAUAUAGUCAAGGAAAGCACCUGGUUUAAUAAAAGUGAUCCUUCCAGAGUGGAGACUGGAGGAGAUGGACUCUUGAGAAACGCAUAUUUGGCUAUUUCAAAGUCAUCUGCUCAUAGAACUUCUGCCGCAACCUGGGAAGUAGGAUGUAUAAAGGAAACUCUUUUUUCUUUGACACUGUUGGGUUCAUUUUAAGCAUCUAGGUUUUACCUGCAAGGCAUGUAGGGAUAUACUGUAGUAACAAAAUGGUAACUGUGGGUGCUGGGCCCUUCUUUCCAAGCACUGAGACUAUCUGGGCUGAGAGUGAGAAGGAAGACAGUGACAUCCUCCUCCAUAGAGGAAAACACUUAGGAGUCAAAUUGAAGGCAAGUUCUUGGGGGGAAAGAGAGUUAUUCAGACAAACAGCAGCAACAUAGUGUAUAAGAUGAUGUGCAUUUGGUUAGAACAUAAAGCAGAAAUUGGUAGAGAAACAUCACCAAAUCUUAAGAAUUGUUGGAUCUGAUUGUGAACAUUAUGAAGGUGAACCUUUGCACCUAUGGAUUAGUCUCACUCUGAAAUGUAAGCUUCUUCAAAAUAGAAGCAAGGUUUUUACAUAUUUUCUCUUUCCAGGGCUAACUCCAGUGCCUGGCAUUCCACAAUCACUCAGUCUGUAUAACUGAAUGGAAUGGUGGCACUGGCAUUGUGGACACAGCCAGGCUGCCUAGGGAAGGAAAGUUAUCCCUGGGUUUUCUGUGGGUAACUCACCUCAAUGUCCUAUAAUUCUUAAGAUAUGGUAGAAAUUUUACUUGGUGAAAAUAUUUAUCUUCUUUGGUACCCAUUCACCAGCCUGGGCUAGAUAUGGACCAGGAUGCAAGCACAUUGUGAUCUCUUUGUAUAAGACUGAGAUUCUCAGUCAUGUUUGGUAGUUCUGGAGUUCUUGAAAUGGCUUAAAGAUAUUGAUAAUUGAGGUAUCAAAGAUUGGAAAUUUCUAUAGUAGUAACAGGUGUUAAAUGUUUUAUAACUUUAAAAAAAUGUUUCCAUUCUCUUAAUGCAUGCAUUAUUUGGCUAUGCCAUAAAGUCCCUAGAUUUUAUAAUGACUGUUUGGAUAUAUGAAACUCUAUAAAUAACCCCAUCCUCCUGGGAGUGUUCUGUGGCAACUAUACUACAUUUCACUUCCUAGAUCUUCCUCUCAAAACUUCCAUAUAUUAUUUCAAUUAGUUUUAGUUAUGAUUUGUUUAUCAACAGUGAAGUUCCUUGCUUUGACUACAGUAUAAGAUGUUUUUCUGACUUAAUUUGCUCUUAAGUUUUGUACUUUUCUAAUAACAGAAGACAUAUGCAACUUUUCUCUGUACCUCAACAUCAGGUGUUCUAAAAUGCGAAAUUGUUUACUGGAAGAUUUGAUGCCAAUUCCAUGUUCAUAUCUUACAUAAGAUUUUAUUUUUAAAAAAAUAUUUUGCACGAAUUUUAGUUAAUAUUAGUUUAUCACUGAUCUUCAUAUAGAAUCUCCCCAAUUCUUUCCAACUUGCCCCAGUCAUAGAAUUAUAAUUUCCCAUGUGUCAGGGAGUGGAAAAGGUAGUUCAAUGCUGCUAUAAAUUUUCCUUGUUGAAAUUUUUCACCCUGGGAGACCAGAUAUAAAUGGAAAGAAUGUUAAUCUCAGUGGAAGAGAUUUGUUAGAGGAAUCCAGGAUGUUUCUAUUUUCAUUUUUAAAGCUCCAUUUGCUAACAUAUUGAGAUAAAGAGGGCUCGCUCCGUUUUUGUGAAAAGUAUUUCAUAAUGAUGGGCUCUGUCUGAUGGGAUUGGAUGGGUCUCUGCAGAGUGCUGCCUUCCCAGCUGAAUCACCUUCCCUUCCUCCAGGAGAGAAGGGGUAGAAGGAGCCAGCAGGAACUGAAAAGGAGAAGUGUGCCCAGGGUGCUGUGGGAACACGAUAAAGGACCCCUCAUCCAAGCUGUGCAGGUAGGGAAGGCUUCCAGGAGGAGGUAGUGCUUGUGCUGAGUCUUACCACAGGGUGAGGAUGUCCACAUGAACACAGACUCAGUGCGUUCCAUAAGAGGGGACAGCGAGGUUGGCAGAUGUGCAACCCUCUUCAGGCCACAGGAAAUCCUUUCAGCCCUUCUCAGUUGAGUCAUCUGGAAAAAGCUGCUGUCCUAUAGAACCUGUCUUACAGUCUUGGUGGGCAAAGGGAGCUCAGUUUUCUCUCAUGGUGGGCUCCUCAUCUUGUUGAAACACCUUCAUGUAGAUUUCGAAGGGAACAGGGGAUGGGGAGAAUCCUGCUUUUCCAUACAUCCAAGGAUCAUUGUCCUUGAAGCAGCCUUUCUGCCAACAUUCAGGGCGCUGCAGAACUGGACACCUUUGAUGCUUCGGAUUCCAUGUAUCUGGGAGCUGCCUGGGGUGCCAGGCAGCCUGGACCAAGAGCUCUGCAUGCCAUCUAGGUUACCACUGAGAGGAGUGCUGGGACCAUUCAGCUCUCUCACAGCAGCUGCGGUUUGAAUUACCACAGAUUAUUUUACUCAGCCCCAGUGUACAGAUGGGAAAAUUGAGGCUAACAUGCAUGGAGCCACUUUCUAGAUCCUGGGGAAUAACUUAUUCUUCAUUAUUUUAGCUUCUUACUUCAGUGCUGCAGCAACUGCUUUGCUGGAGUGGGAACCUCCAAGAGGGAUUUUUUUUUUCCCGGAGACAGCUACUUGUUAGAAAUGGCCUGUUUUCAUUGGAUACCCUACCCAUUGGCUCACAGUGAUGGAGGUCGGGGUUCCCACCUGCCCCAGGGAGAUCAUUCAGUCCCAGCCAUGGCAGCUCGUGUCCUCAAGGCCCUUGGCCAUCAACAGAGAGAGGAAUCUGGGGCAAACAAAGCAAGGAGCGGUGGUGGCUGCAGACCUGAGCUUUCUGUGCCCACUUGCGGGGGGGGGAGGCAGCAGAGUCUGUGCCAGGAGCUAUGCAACUUCUGUACCCCCUUCCCAGGCCCCUCAGCUCAUCUGCUGGCUCUCAGAACUCAGGCGUCCUGAAUGGGUCUUUGUGUGUACCCCAGGAGCUGGCUCAGAAGAGCCCUGAUGGAAAUGCUGGCCAGCGAUGUCUCCUCUGCAUCCAGGCGCAGACAGGCUUGGUGCCCAUCUUGUGGGAGGCACGGCUUUUCUGUGCUGCUUCACCCCUUGGGGUUGGGAGCGAGCAGGACCCUGAUGAAUGGGAGAAAUGUUUUGCAGCCCUGUUUGGUGAGGUUUCAGGCAGCAGGGCCCGGGGAAUGACAACUCCUCAGUCCCUUCCCCGGGCCUCUCUUUCCCACUCUCUGGGCUACUUUUUUUUUUUUUUUUCCUGAGGUAGGUUUUCACUUAAGACCCUGUAUAUCCCAGGCUGUGCUCAAACUUGCCGUUCUUCUUCCUCACCCUGCCAGAUUACAGGUGUGCACCACCACACCCAGCUUCAGCUGACUUUGCCCCCAGUGAUGACUGGGGUAAUAUUCAUAACAGGACCUGCCAUUCCAUUCCGUGGCCACCCCCUAGGUGCCUAAUCCUAUUUAAUUAAACCUUUCAGGUGUCCUGUGAAAUAUUUUAUCUCACAAUCCUCAUUUCACAGGUGAAAAAACCAAGACAUAGGAAUGGUAAGCAUCCCAAGUAGUUCUGAACAGGAGGCUGCACACAGAUGGGUGGAUCUCUGCCCUGAUCUCACCUUCCCAGGUUUCCAGGAGUCUCUUGCCAAACACUGAAGUCCUAGGCCACUUGUGCAGUCAGCUACCUGAGAAAUCCCCCAUGUUCCAGGGGCUGGUGCUGAAAAAAGACCCAGACUUGUGGCCUUCUGGGGUCUCAUUCUGUUUACAUCACCACCCCUUUGUGCUCUGUUUCUCUCCUUCUUUUUUAAUCUUCUUUUUAAAUCAUUUUAUAUGAUAGAAGAAACUGGAGAUAUAGAAGGAAAAUAUUACAGUACAACUAAAUAUUGAAAAUUUUGUUCAAGACCUUCACCCCCAACCCCUGGAAACAGAGUGGUUUAAAGAGACAAGCCCCACGCAGUAGCCAGAGUACAGGAUGCUUUGGGGCGUGGGUGACCCCGCCUCUGUGACCAACUGCACUUACUGCCCACCACAGUCCUCCUUUGUCAAUGCUGGGAUGAGGAUUAAUCCCCACGUCUGACUCUGAGACUUGCUGUAGUCAGGCUGGAGAGCAGGCAGGGAUCUUGCUUUUACUCUUUUCUUAGGAGAUAGAUGCAGUGAUGACAAUGGCAUUGGCGCCUAUCCACCUGGCUUCUCUUAGGGUGACAGGACUCUCUCUGCAGAGGUGUAAUGGUUGGUCUCUAAUGUAGAGAAGUGCAGUGGCCCUUUUGGGAAACAGAAAUGUUAGCCAUGGCUUUUAGAACAGCUCUGUCAGCUGAGCCAAUGGCCAUCUGUGAAGGGCUAUAUUUUUCUAUUUGCAAAAUAGGUUAUGAAAAAUCUAUGGUAAACAAAGAGAGACAGCAGAAGAAACAUAACGAGAAGUUCUAGCUAUGUGAUAUGGUGAGAUAUCAGGCAAAAUUGUAAAUUGCCUGCCAAGGCCUUCUUUUGUCUUACCAGUUCUUUUCUUUUUUAAGAAAAGUUAGCUUCUCAUCUCUCUAGACCUUUUCCCAUCUCUGUAUAGUUUAUAGUCUAUACUCUUCUGGAAACAGAAGACUCAAUAUUAACUAUCAUAGACCUCAUGUGGAGGGAGAUUCUUUUUUAUUUUUUAAAAAAGUCUGGUGUUGGGGAUCAAACCCAGGCCCUUGCACAUGCCAAGCAAGUGCCCUACCACUGUGCUACAGCCCUGAUAGAUUCAUCUUUAACAUACAAUAAAAAGAAACUCUGGAACUGGAAUCCUCAGUUAUGCAUGGUAUAGUGUGUUCUUUCCUUCCAUGUGAUGAGUUACUGUCUAUUCUUAGCCACUAUCACUUUCAGCUAAAGAGAUGGUAAUGUCAUAAUGAUGGAUAUAAGAAUUGAGUAGUCAUUCUAUGUGUUAUUCUCCAAGCUGGUUUCUAUAAUCAUCUUGCAGCUCUCUCAUAUCCAAGGGUCUCUGAGUAUGUUUCUCCAUUAAAUUAUUGCCUUCAUCAUGGGUUAUUAUUGCAAUCUAAUUGUGGUGAUAUGUAAUCAAUGCUUAUACUUUGAGUAACUGAAGCAUAAGUGGAAGCAGAGAAAUGCCCAUCAUAAUCAAGAUAGUCAUCUGUAGAUGACUAAGGUCCUGAAGAUGUAGGAUGUUGAACAAACAAGAGCCACGUACAACCAUUAGAUUACCUUUCAGUUUCAGCCCUUCUCAACUCAGUAUGCUGUCAGUCUCUGGUACUUAUUCUUGGGAGUCACUUGUUUCUUUUUUUAUGUUGCUAGUCACAUUUCUGAGAAUAGAGCUCACCAUUAAAACAAAUAAUAGUUAAAGAUGGCAGAAUUAGAAGGCUUUGUGGGUAAUGCAGGAUGGACACUUUAAAGGACUUUUUGAUUUUAACAAGGAGAAUAUAUAAGAGGGAAAACACUUUUGGAUAGGACAGUGAAAUUUACCUCUGGUGUGUGGGCUCCUUGAAGUCUUGGUAACUUUCCAGGUCUAAGUCUUUUAUUCAUAGGGUGACAUGCUAGUUAUUUAGCGAGUUUAGUCUGUGAAUAGAGAUGUCCACAUACUUACUGCUCAGCAGGCAAUGUAGAAUCACUUUUUUGGACUGUGACCAGGGGACAAUAGAGUAUUACCAAAAAUUUUCAAACAGAAGAGGAACAUUAUCAGAAGCAUCCAUUUAGAAGACCAAGUAAAAGUCACAUAUAAAAUGGGUUACAGUUGGUAGGUACUAAUCUGGAAAAACCAACUGGAAGAUAUAUAGUUAUAGUCCAGUAGAAAAAAAGAGAACUUUCUCAAGGAUAACUGCAGCAGCAACAAAAGAAAGGGACCAAUUCAAGAAGUAUAAUGGAGAAAGAAUGGGGAGAGCUUGGCAACUCAGCAGCUAUAAAGGAAGAGAAUGCAUGAGGGAGGAAUACCUAUGAUAUAGUCACUAUCUGAUUGGGUAUUUGUCUAAUGGUCAAUGGAAGCAGCUGAACUUUCUGCAUUUUCUUGCUGAGAAAGAAGGGGGAAACAGUGGCCUGUUAGCUGUGAAAACUUAAAGCCAUCAUUAUAGGUGGAGUAUGAACCUGACACAGGAUGAGUCAGUAUCAGAAAUAGGGUGGUGGACACAAGUUUGAGAGAUGGGGCCCCUCUUCUACUCCGACUCUUAAUGAUUAUGGUAUUUGUUAUGUAUAUUGCUUUUGGUGAGUGGGGCUCUCUGUACACAGAAGGGAGGAGGAUUCCCCAAAUAAUUAGAAAGCAAAAAAUAUCUAACAAAGUACCAUAGCAAUAUCCUGCCCAAUCACCAGAAUUGGGUGAUUUUCAGUGUUCUGAAUCAGUUCCCAUCCUCCCUCUUCAUGUCACCAUUUCCCUAUCCAUAACAUCAAGUCUCUGGUACCAGAUUUCCUCAGAUUUAACAGUAAAAUGGGAACUGAUUUUUUUUUAUUAAGUUCUGAGUUCAUUGCUGUCAUGCCACCCAAAGACAGUAAAGCAAGUAGGCUUUUGGAAGUCUAGUAGAGAUGGCAUCUUUUGGCCUUUAAGAUGAACAAUUUUAACGUGGGACCAUGGUGCUUGUUCAUUGGCAUAUCUCUGUGUGCCUCUCAGACUUGAUAGUUCUGAAAUCAUGCAAAGAAAAAUAUUUUGAUAAAUGAAGUCCAGCUAACUAAAAUUUUCUUUAAUGAUCAACCUGGGCCCAAGAUCUGUCUUCUUUUAUUAUGUAGGUUAGUCCUUGGCCAAAAACCUAUGAAAUGCUCUAAAGAUGAGCAGCUCUUGAAGGUCCAGCUGUAUCUUUAAUGAAAAUGAAAAAUGACUGUUUUCAUAACUCCAUUUAGUUUCCCACUCUGAAGAUUGCUUUUAGAUUGAUAGUUAUUCCCUUCUUGAUAUAGAAAUACAG